UCAAAUCUGACAACAACAGUACAUCGAAAAGGUAAAAGAUGUUAUCUUUUUGCAAUGAAUCAAGCACCCACAAGUAUUUCUGUAAACAAAUUGCAUUAUGAAUUGUUUUGUUUUGUGCAAUCUGUAACAAUGUUUAUUCACAUAUCCUAAAGGUCUGUUUCUUUUUAUAGUUUUUUUUGUUUGUUGCAGAUUUGACUUUAAACCUUUGAAAAAUGGCAGGUAUAAUCCUACUAACAGUGCUGUUUAUGUCAGUUACAGGUGGAAUGUCAACUGAGAAUUCAGGUCAAAUAACAACUCAGAAAUCAGGUGAGCUGACUGUUUAAUUUGUCAGUCUAAAUAACUGUCAUGUUGUAUGUAAUGACAUCUUUGUG